ANUUUUUUCAAAUGAGGGUUUCUCAAUAAGCAUUUGUAAUUAUCUAUUAGUUUAUAAUAUUUACUUUAAUUGUAAUGGAUGCAGGGGAGAUACUUGAUGUUGAUGAUGGUACCCUGGAUAUCCACUUAUACUGGGAAGGGAAAGGAACUAAUUCCAUUCCUGAUAGAGGUGUAUAUGUUUUUGCUGAAUCUAUAAGGUGGUUUGUGGCACACGUGGUUUGACUGAGACUUAGUGUGACCUCUCUUUCAUACUCUUAUCAUCAUGUUAGGAUUGAGGAACCUAUAAUGCAGAUUCCAACUUUGGCAAUUCACUUGGACAGG